rnacentral:rRNA from 1 species
GCAGUCGAACGAUGAAGCCUUUCGGGGUGGAUUAGUGGCGAACGGGUGAGUAACACGUGGGCAAUCUGCCCUUCACUCUGGGACAAGCCCUGGAAACGGGGUCUAAUACCGGAUAACACUCUGUCCCGCAUGGGACGGGGUUAAAAGCUCCGGCGGUGAAGGAUGAGCCCGCGGCCUAUCAGCUUGUUGGUGGGGUAAUGGCCUACCAAGGCGACGACGGGUAGCCGGCCUGAGAGGGCGACCGGCCACACUGGGACUGAGACACGGCCCAGACUCCUACGGGAGGCAGCAGUGGGGAAUAUUGCACAAUGGGCGAAAGCCUGAUGCAGCGACGCCGCGUGAGGGAUGACGGCCUUCGGGUUGUAAACCUCUUUCAGCAGGGAAGAAGCGAAAGUGACGGUACCUGCAGAAGAAGCGCCGGCUAACUACGUGCCAGCAGCCGCGGUAAUACGUAGGGCGCAAGCGUUGUCCGGAAUUAUUGGGCGUAAAGAGCUCGUAGGCGGCUUGUCACGUCGGAUGUGAAAGCCCGGGGCUUAACCCCGGGUCUGCAUUCGAUACGGGCUAGCUAGAGUGUGGUAGGGGAGAUCGGAAUUCCUGGUGUAGCG